GGAUCAGGGUGAUGUCUUGGUCGGAUGUAAUCUCUGGGAUUCUUUAUCAAACUGAAAAGAAAUGUCUUUCUAGCCAGGAAAACUCUAAAGUGUACUCUGCCAGGGGAAUCCUCAUUUGAGUUAAAUCUUGGGCAAUGAUGGAUUGGAAUUAAAGCAAUAGUUUUGCUUUGGUCAAAGUGUGAGUCCCAAGAUGCACAAACAAUAAACCCAAUAGUGUCAGGUGGCGUUCUGUGCAGAACAGAGAAAACAUUCCAGAGUUUUCCCUGGAGUUUCACUAAAUGUUCCUGAGAGGGCAAUACCACUAUUCAGUAUGCCUUCAUUCCUUAGUUAAAAACACAUGGGGUAAGAAUUUUGAGCAAAGCUUCUGGUGACAGAAUAUGUAGCAAUGAGAGAGGGUGAAUGGAAGUAAAAAUAUUCAGUUUAAGUGGAGUUUUGUCUUUAGUUGGGUCUAAGCCUGUGUGUAGACUUUCUUUCCUAUGUGUCCUAUAAAAUGGCCCUGGCUGAGACGUUUGUUUGUUUUUGGUAAUGAUUAAAAAUAGUAAUGCAUCUGAAAAAUACCUUGGAAGUGGUAAGAAGGAAGAGACUCCAGCUUCUCUUCUGCCAUCCUCUCAUCACUGGACUAAUUCAAUGUGACAAACUUCCUGAGGAUGCCCACUUUGAACAAGGACAGAUGUACCAAUGUCCAAUAUUCCCAUCCCUCCAGCAAGAACUGAAGGAUUUCUUAUGGGUACUUCACUGUCAGGCUACUAAUGACAUCAGCCACAAUCUGGUGAGACAGUAUUGGACACUAUGCAUGUAUUCUUAACCAAAUGAUCUGCAAAAAAGAAACGAUGAUUCAUUUUUUUUACAUAUGGAUCGGGAUGUAAUGAGACUAUGAAGGCAAUUUCCUUCUGGUACAGCACAGACUUUCCUUCUCCUAGAUUUCAAAUAUUUCUCCAUCAAGAGUCCUUCUUUUUCACUGCCUGCUAUUUAAA
rnacentral:lncRNA from 1 species